rnacentral:rRNA from 1 species
CCUACGGGAGGCAGCAGUAGGGAAUAUUGCUCAAUGGGGGAAACCCUGAAGCAGCAACGCCGCGUGGAGGAUGAAGGUUUUCGGAUUGUAAACUCCUUUUGUUAGAGAAGAUAAUUACGGUAUCUAACGAAUAAGCACCUGCUAACUCCGUGCCAGCAGCCGCGGUCAUACGGAGGGUGCAAGCGUUACUCGGAAUCACUGGGCGUAAAGAUCGCGUAGGCGGGAUGGCAAGUCAGGUGUGAAAUCCUAUGGCUUAACCGUAGAACUGCAUUUGAAACUGUUAUUCUAGAGUAUGGGAGAGGUAGGUGGAAUUCUUGGUGUAGGGGUAAAAUCCGUAGAGAUCAGGAGGAAUACUCAUUGCGAAGGCGACCUGCUAGAACAUAACUGACGCUGAUGCGCGAAAGCGUGGGGAGCAAACAGGAUUAGAUACCCCUGUAGUC